rnacentral:tRNA from 1 species
GGAGUUGUGGCUCAGUGGUAGAGUGCUUGCCUAGCAUGCAUGAGGCACUGGGUUCGAUUCUCAGCACCA